GAUGAAGAACGCAGUAAAAUGCGAUACUUGGUGUGAAUUGCAGAAUCCCGUGAACCAUCGAGUUUUUGAACGCAAGUUGCGCCCGAAGCCUUUUGGCCGAGGGCACGUCUGCCUGGGCGUCACGCAUCGCGUCGCCCCCCACAAUUCUCCGUAAAGGGAACGUGUGUUUUGGGGGCGGAUAUUGGUCUCCCGUGCUCAUGGCGUGGUUGGCCGAAAUAAGAGUCCUUUCGAUGGACGCACGAACUAGUGGUGGUCGUAAAAACCCUCGUCUUUUGUUUCGUGCUGUUGCUCGCAAGGUAAACUCUUUAAAAACCCCAAUGUGUCGUCUCUUGACGACGCUUCGACCGCGACCCCAGGUCAGGCGGGACUACCCGCUGAGUUUAAGCAUAUCAAUAAGCGGAGGA
rnacentral:misc_RNA from 1 species